AUUGAACGCUGGCGGCAGGCCUAACACAUGCAAGUCGAACGGUAACAGGAAGAAGCUUGCUUCUUUGCUGACGAGUGGCGGACGGGUGAGUAAUGUCUGGGAAACUGCCUGAUGGAGGGGGAUAACUACUGGAAACGGUAGCUAAUACCGCAUAACGUCGCAAGACCAAAGAGGGGGACCUUCGGGCCUCUUGCCAUCGGAUGUGCCCAGAUGGGAUUAGCUAGUAGGUGGGGUAACGGCUCACCUAGGCGACGAUCCCUAGCUGGGCUGGGAGGAUGACCAGCCACACUGGAACUGAGACACGGUCCAGACUCCUACGGGAGGCAGCAGUGGGGAAUAUUGCACAAUGGGCGCAAGCCUGAUGCAGCCAUGCCGCGUGUAUGAAGAAGGCCUUCGGGUUGUAAAGUACUUUCAGCGGGGAGGAAGGGAGUAAAGUUAAUACCUUUGCUCAUGGACGUUACCCGCAGAAGAAGCACCGGCUAACUCCGU
rnacentral:rRNA from 1 species